UACGUAGGGCGCAAGCGUUAAUCGGAAUUACUGGGCGUAAAGCGCGCGUAGGCGGUUUGAUAAGUCGAUUGUGAAAUCCCCGGGCUCAACCUGGGAAUUGCAGUCGAGACUGUCAGACUAGAGUGUGGGAGAGGGUGGUGGAAUUCCCGGUGUAGAGGUGAAAUUCGUAGAUAUUGGGAAGAACACCGGUGGCGAAGGCGGCCAACUGGACCACAACUGACGCUGAGGCGCGAAAGCGUGGGGAGCAAACAGG
rnacentral:rRNA from 1 species